CAAAUCUUAAGUCUCACCAUUUUCCGAUUAUUCAAGUCAUCGGUUCGAACCUUACACACCAUGAGCGACCUCCCUCCAUAUCCGCCGCUCGAUCCCACCACCUACGACCUCAUCAUCGUCGGCACCGGAGUUCCCUCAUCCAUCCUCGCCGCCGCCGCUUCCUCCUCCGGCACCUCAGUUCUCCACCUCGAUCCCAACCCCUUCUACGGCUCUCACUCCGCAUCCCUCUCCCUCCCCGAUCUCACUUCCUUCCUCCACUCAAACUCCCUCUCCCCUCCCUCUCCUCCGCCGCCGUCAGACACUCCCGACUUCCUCUCCGUCGAUCUCGCCACACGAUCCCUAUACUCCUCCGUCGAGAUCGCGACCUUCGACUCCUCGAUCCUCGACGAACGCCACUCCAGGAAGUUCAACGUCGACUUGUGCGGUCCUAGGGUUCUCUUCUGCGCCGACGAGUCGAUCAACCUAAUGCUGAGAUCGGGAUCUAACAACUACGUGGAGUUCAAGAGCGUGGACGCGAGCUUCGUCGGGGACUCGAGCGGAGAGCUGAGGAGCGUCCCGGAUUCGAGAGCGGCGAUAUUCAAGGAUAAGAGUUUGGGUCUGAUGGAGAAGAAGCAGUUGAUGAAGUUCUUUAAGCUUGUUCAAGCUCACUUGGCUGCUUCCUCCACGGAGAGGGAUGAGGGGGUGGUUAAGAUUGCUGAGGAAGAUAUGGAGUCUCCGUUUGUUGAGUUCUUGGCUAAGAUGCCUUUGCCUCCCAAAAUCAAAUCGAUCAUCUUGUAUGGCAUUGCGAUGGUAGACUAUGAUCAAGACAAUGUGGAAGCUUGUGGAGAUUUACUCAAGACCAAAGAGGGGAUAGCUCGAUUGGCUUUGUACAUUACAUCUAUUGGCAGAUUUUCAAACGCACUUGGGGCGUUGAUAUAUCCUAUUUAUGGACAAGGAGAGCUUCCUCAAGCCUUUUGCCGUAGAGCCGCUGUCAAAGGAUGCAUCUAUGUUCUCCGGAUGCCUAUUACUGCUCUGCUUUUAGACAAGGAAACUGGGGGUUACAAAGGGGUUAGACUAGCUACGGGUCAAGAGAUAUUCAGCCAAAAGUUGAUUCUUGACCCAUGUAUUACUGUUGGAUCGGAGUCAAUGUCGACAUUGACUGAUCAGCAGAAAGAAACUCUUCGUGUUCUUGUCCCAAAGUCGAUAAGCAGCGAGGGGAAAAUAGCUAGAGGAAUUUGUAUCAUUAGAGGUUCUGUGAAAGCUGAUAUAUCAAACGCUCUUGUCGUAUAUCCACCUAAAUCUUUGUUUCCUGAACAGUUAGCUGCGAUUCGGGUUCUGCAGCUUGGUAGUGGUUUAGCGGUUUGUCCAGCUGACAUGCAUGUUUUAUAUUUUUCAACUGUGUGUGAAAACGAUGAUCAAGGGAAAGCUGCACUGUUAUCUGCCAUGAGUACUCUCAUUAAACCGCAGGUUCCUGAGAAUCUCCAAAGCGAUUCAGCUGUCGAGAACGACACUGCUGAAGCAGCAAAACCUGUUGUGCUCUGGAGAGCACUGUACGUGCAAGCGAUGGUCAAGGGUGAAUUUGGAGGCAGUAUCAGUUCAGCAGCUAGUCCAGAUGGAAAUUUGAACUACAAUGAGAUGGUGGAAUCAGCCGUGAAGCUAUAUGAGCAACUCAUGGGGAGUGAAGAAUUGUUUAAAGAAGAAACUUCGCUGGACAACACAACAGAGGAGGAAAACGAUGGUGGUGUUGAAAUAGAAGCUUGAUGAACCAUGUGAUAUCUCUCAUAACAUACUAUAGUUCACAGUGUAUUUUUAACAGUUUUGUGUAUGGACAUGUAUUUUCAUAUAAACAGACGUUUCUCUCUUACAGCAUUUAUUUUCCAAUACAACGAAUACACAACAAAUAUU